GACGAACGCUGGCGGCGUGCUUAACACAUGCAAGUCGAACGGUAAGGCCCUUCGGGGUACACGAGUGGCGAACGGGUGAGUAACACGUGGGUGAUCUGCCCUGCACUUCGGGAUAAGCCUGGGAAACUGGGUCUAAUACCGGAUAGGACCCUGGGAUGCAUGUCCUGGGGUGGAAAGCUUUUGCGGUGUGGGAUGGGCCCGCGGCCUAUGAGCUUGUUGGUGGGGUGAUGGCCUACCAAGGCGACGACGGGUAGCCGGCCUGAGAGGGUGACCGGCCACACUGGGACUGAGAGACGGCCCAGACUCCUACGGGAGGCAGCAGUGGGGAAUAUUGCACAAUGGGCGCAAGCCUGAUGCAGCGACGCCGGGUGAGGGAUGACGGCCUUCGGGUUGUAAACCUCUUUCAGCACCGACGAAGCGCAAGUGACGGUAGGUGCAGAAGAAGGACCGGCCAACUACGUGCCAGCCGCCGCGGUAA
rnacentral:rRNA from 1 species